rnacentral:tRNA from 1 species
AACCUCAUACUCUUGUAGCUAAACCCCAAAGC